AUGAUAUUUAUCUUGACCUACGAGGAGAUUUACUGGAAACAGAGGGGUCAGAAAAAUUGGGUGCUCAAGGGGGACGCGAGUACCCAAUUCUUUCAUGCUGUGGCAAAUGGAAGACACCAGAGAUGUAUGAUCCGUGUUCUCCGAGAUGGAAAUAAUGUUAUCACUGAAGAUGAUGCCCUCCAAACCCAUAUUUAUGCGUUUUACCGGGAGCUAUUAGGCUCUUCUGGGGUGGGAUCAGCAUCUCUUCACGACUCAAUCUGGGAUAACGAGCGAUUGGUCUCUGAAGAUGAUAACUCCAUCCUCACUAAGCCUUUCACGCUUGAUGAGAUCACAGCUAACCUAAAUCAGACGAGGGUGAACACGGCGCCCGGGCCUGAUGGUUUCCCGGUCAUCUUCUAUAAGCGGUUUUGGAAUAUAGUGGGACCACAAUUCGCUCACCUUGUGAAUGAAUUCACCAGUGGCCGAAUAGACAUUAAACGCCUAAAUUAUGGGGUGUUGGCUUUGAUUCUGAAGAUGCCGAGUGCAGACCAAAUUAGGCACUUCCGCCCCCUCACGCUCAUAAAUGUCAGCUUCAGGCUGAUUGCUAAGGGAUUUGCCUCUCGCAUUGCUCCGGUGGCAGACAAGAUUAUUGAUAAUCUGCAAACUGCCUUUAUUAAAGGGUGGAGCAUCCUGGACGGUGUAGCGGUGCUCCAUGAGGUGCUUCAUGAGAUUAAGAAUACAAAGGAAGAGAUGUUCAUUCUCAAGCUCGACUUUGAGAAAGCCUAUGACCGGGUCCGGUAG
rnacentral:rRNA from 1 species